UAGGCUGUUCUCGGAGGAUUGGGCGAGUCUGCUGCUCAGGGUCCUUCAGACCCCGAGAAACAGGAGGUCCGCUACCGAGAAGAGAGAAUCCAUUUCCAAUCCGUCUGCCUGCCUUUAAAACACAAAAAGCCUCGCAAGAGCCAGUGGACAACUUGCAGCAUUCGCCCUUCUGACUCACCAGUCCAAGACAAGUUCUGUUCGCACUGACUUUUGUUUUGGUGACGAUAUUAAUGCCAUGGUGUUAUAUCACUCAACCAGCACAAAACAUCCCAUGUCUUGAAAUAACGCUGGAUAUGGAUAUCAGUGGUAAGCCUGGCAUUCAUUGCAAUUACCCUGAAAUGAAGAGGCAAUAAAGAGUCAACAAUAUUGUGCUUCAGUUGGUGAUACCAGUGAAGAAUUUGGUUGUCUGCAGGGCUGCACCUUGAAGUCUACGUCUUCCCAGCCACACCUCGAGAUAUUAAAAGCACCAUGUGCUUGGUGAGUUUCGAGAGCGAGAACUCAUCGCCAUGAAGAACCACAGUUUGAGUGGUUCAUAGA